GCGCCUGUAGCUCAUCCGGAUAGAGCAUCGCCCUUCUAAGGCGAGGGUAACAGGUUCGAGUCCUGUCAGGCGCACCA
rnacentral:tRNA from 1 species